UUUAAACAAACACAAACACUUGGCAAUUUUCACAGAUUUUAUUGGAUCUUACAUGGCAAUAUACAGUAGUAAUGUUGCCAUCUUCAAAAAUGCACAAAUUAAAAUACCACAAUGGUAUCAAUUUUGUGCACGUGUGCAUAAACUUCCUGAUGUCAUCCAUCCCUUGCUUUCAUAUUAGACCCCCAUAAAAUAAUCACAGUUCAGAUGAUAGGCAGCUUUGAAGGGACAACCAAUUUUCCAACCAGUAGAUGCUGAAAUGGGUUGUUCAGAGCAGAAUUUUACUUACACUGGACUUACAAACAAAUGAUCAUCUGCUGCUGCCAAUAUGUUUGUUAAUAGCACUGGACUGAAAAUAAAUUUGAGAGUAUUUGCUUAUACCUGUUUCAGCACAUAACAUUGUGUCACUAGCCCCUUUUUUUCCUGUGAAUAUCCAGCCCUUAUGUCCACUAGUCAGCACCUGCUAAAAGAGUGAAUCUAGAGGAAUACUGUUGCUCAGAAGCCUGUGCCAUGUCUUCCCAGUGCUUCUCUACUGGUAAGAGCAGGGUCUAAGCCCAACUUACAUGUAAAUAAUAACCAUAUUGUAAAUUAUUCACAGAAAGCAAGCCCUGAAUCCACAUCUGAGUAUUUGCACUUGAAAACUGGAAGCAGGCAUUACAGAAUGUGGUAUUUCUGCCUAAUUAAAAUAGCUCAAACACCCCCAAGACAGCAGAGGAAGAAACAACACACAGCAAAUUAUUUGUGGAUGUUACUUAGUCAGGAAUUUUGAAUAAAGCACCAGUGUUGUAGUCUGCACAAACUGAAUAUGAACAAUUAUGGAUUGAUUGCCUGGUUCCAGUUACUGAAGAGAGAAUGGCAGCACUUGGUAUCAUAUACAACACAACUGGUCCACAUCAAAUUUUUCAUCUUUGCACCUAAAUAGCCUCCACUGCACAUCCUUCAAAAAAAAAAAAAAAAAAAAAAAAGACUUGUAAUAGCUUAUAAGGUAACAAUAGAGCUCAGUGGAAGCCCCUGGAAGAACCUUACUUCCCUUCCUAACUUUUGUAAUGGUGUUUCAUGAAUACCCACAAAAUCAGCCAAAAUCUAAAAUCCAUUACACCACACAAGCAGUAUGUCAGAAAUGGUUUCAUCACUACCCUUGCUGGAAGUGACACAAGUCUUGUAAAAGCCAAAUAGCACUGCAAGGAGCCAUUCUAACUGAAUUUUUUUCCUUUACAAAGCAAAGAAGUUUAAUGCCAUUGUGCUAAAAUACAUGCAACGUAAAACACCAUA